AUGGCACCGAAGAGGGAGCUGGUCUUGGCCAGCGCCCGGGGCUCGGAGGCGAAGCGCCUGUGCGUGGGGGUCCCUGGAGCUGCCUGCGCCGGCGGCAGCGAGAGCGAGCGGUCGGUGCCGGCGUCGCCGGGAAAGCGGCUGCUGCGGCAGACAGUGUUCGUCGUGCUCUUUCUUGUGCGAAUGAGCGAAAAGAUCACGGUGACGGAAAGUAUGUCGCACAUUGGACGCAUGGUGAGCACAGAUCAAAUAUAA
rnacentral:rRNA from 1 species